GAUGAACGCUAGCUACAGGCUUAACACAUGCAAGUCGAGGGGCAUCAGGAAGAAAGCUUGCUUUCUUUGCUGGCGACCGGCGCACGGGUGAGUAACACGUAUCCAACCUGCCCUUUACUCGGGGAUAGCCUUUCGAAAGAAAGAUUAAUACCCGAUAGCAUAAUGAUUCCGCAUGGUUUCAUUAUUAAAGGAUUCCGGUAAAGGAUGGGGAUGCGUUCCAUUAGGUUGUUGGUGAGGUAACGGCUCACCAAGCCUUCGAUGGAUAGGGGUUCUGAGAGGAAGGUCCCCCACAUUGGAACUGAGACACGGUCCAAACUCCUACGGGAGGCAGCAGUGAGGAAUAUUGGUCAAUGGGCGCUAGCCUGAACCAGCCAAGUAGCGUGAAGGAUGAAGGCUCUAUGGGUCGUAAACUUCUUUUAUAUAAGAAUAAAGUGCAGUAUGUAUACUGUUUUGUAUGUAUUAUAUGAAUAAGGAUCGGCUAACUCCGUGCCAGCAGCCGCGGUAAUACGGAGGAUCCGAGCGUUAUCCGGAUUUAUUGGGUUUAAAGGGAGCGUAGGUGGACUGGUAAGUCAGUUGUGAAAGUUUGCGGCUCAACCGUAAAAUUGCAGUUGAUACUGUCAGUCUUGAGUACAGUAGAGGUGGGCGGAAUUCGUGGUGUAGCGGUGAAAUGCUUAGAUAUCACGAAGAACUCCGAUUGCGAAGGCAGCUCACUGGACUGCAACUGACACUGAUGCUCAAAGGUGUGGGUAUCAAACAGG
rnacentral:rRNA from 1 species